GACGUGGCGCCAACGUUUCAAAGUGGGAGGGAUAUCGUCCUACAAAUAACUGUGCUAUAACCCCCCCGCCACCCAUACAUUCGCCGAAUAACCAGAAAACACUUCAGCCGACCCUACUUGGGGCUACGACCCAACAAAAAAAUAUGUCCAGAGCGGGAGAGAUGAGAGGACUCAAUAAUACGAAACGUCAACGAGAAGACCUGACAACGCCUCGACAACGGAGGGCAGGCAACGCGGCACAAUAAACCCAUUCAUGGACAUCCAAAGGUGAAGCCAAGUGACGUGACGUGAGGCUGUGAUGGGAGGCGCGGGAUUUCAACACUAGUUCUUCUCUGUGAUGGAUGGAUACUUCCCCGCUACCAGAUGGAGAGCGAUGGAUAGAAGGAUGCAACAAGGACACGGAGAGUACCAGAGGGAUUAAAGGAAGAGGAGAAUGGAGGGCAAAUUCAGUGGAAGUGGAAGAGAGGGACGAUCAAUGAAACAAUCAACGAUAGAGUAAAGAAGGGAUAAGGAGAGGAGUUAUAGUUUAUAAAAUGGUCAGAAAGUGUGGAAUCACUUUGACAACUUGUUCGAACACCGUGGACUCUGCAACCAUACCAGAUGCUGUUCAUUGUCUCUUUUAUGAAGAAACAGCGUGACGUUUCAUGAAAUUGCCUUUUUCACUUUCUUCAAUCAAGCCGCAGUCAAGAGUCCAUUAUCUUGACUCAGUAUAAGUGUUUGUUAGCUUAAACCGUUGUAGUUAAUUGAGUUUGGUGCUAAUUCCUGGAGACAGUUACAGAACAAUGGUAUGUCUGGUCGCCUAGCAACCGGAUGACAAGACACUUGGUGGCCACAGCGCAACUUGCCAUAUUAAUUCUAUGUUUUUUUGUGUGAAUAAAUGAAUUAAUUAUUGGCUAUAGCAACAUUCUCACCUGACUGCAGGAAAGCCAAUCAUUUUACUCACCAAAAUGUUUGCAUUUUCCUUUGACGAUAAUAUUCAUGCCAACCACACUAUCAAGGAAUUCAUUCUACUAAAUGACAUCUUUGAUCGGUUUAGAAACAAAGUGUUAUAGAUAGUGGGGACUAUUUAGGACAUAUGGAAGACGCAGGUGGCUAGAAGAGCUGGAAGAGACGAGGAGAUGUUAAUCAGCGAGGAGGCAGGGGGGCGGGGAGUUUGGGAUGGUCUAAUAAAUCGAGUGAGUGCCUCCACCCGUUUCUGCCCGUGGGACGAAUGCAGUCGCGCUCGCCGGCGCAGUGCAGCAUCGGGGAAUUAUGGGUAAUGAGGGAUUAUUCCCCCCUGUAGUGUUUGCUCAUCAUCAUUGCCCCUCACCACCUCCCCAGCCUCCAACGGAGCACACACACACACACACACACAAGCACACACACAAACCUUUAGCACUGGGCAGAUUCAGCAUGUGGAUGCAGGUGUGGGGUAUAAAUACAAACAUGUGCAGACACAUAAACACGCACACACACACACACACACACACACACACACACCUUAAACAUGCUCCUGGUUUUGUGAGUAAGGUCAAACAGCGAGGUGUUAUUGUUUAAAUCUGCUGCUGGCACCAAUUUUGGACGUCACACUCAGUGAGGCGCACACACGGUUCAAUGACACCCUCUUUUACCCACAAGUCCGUGUGGCCUGAGGAGGACAAUCUGUCUGUGGGUAGAUCCUAUAUACGCGCAUCAAACCAGAACCCUCUCCCUCCUCUGUCUCUCCAGUCCGUGGUCCUCCUUGCCCGGGGGCCAGGCUGCGACCACAAGAAGUACAGGCUGGUGGUCCCAGCAGGAGUCGAGGGACAGACACACCAUUAGCAUGGGGGAAUUAGGGUUAUUGCAACUGGAAGGGCAACGGAGGACGAGUGUGAAGAGGUUGUGUUGAGUUGUGUGAGGGAGGGAGGAAAGAGACAAAAGUAAGAGGCUUUUUUAGUCAGAUUUGUAAUAUAUCAAUGUUUUGUGUAAAUAAGAACACACAAAGACGCUAUAGAUCGUUCUGAUUCUGAAUGUCAAACGCCAGAAUAAAGUGCUUUUCUUUUCAAAAAUACACAGGACAUGCUCCAGAGAACAUGUAUUACUUCGAAUGUUUUUAACUUGAAAUAAAGUCAUGAGUCUUUGGUGAUUUUGACAUUGAAGGCAAACUUGUUCAUUGGAUUGUAUUUCUGUCUGUUAAUAAAUGGCUCAUUAAAACAGAGGAAGAUUUAAUCUGAAA